rnacentral:rRNA from 1 species
GAUGAACGCUGGCGGCGUGCCUAAUACAUGCAAGUCGAGCGAACGGACGAGAAGCUUGCUUCUCUGAUGUUAGCGGCGGACGGGUGAGUAACACGUGGAUAACCUACCUAUAAGACUGGGAUAACUUCGGGAAACCGGAGCUAAUACCGGAUAAUACUUUGAACCGCAUGGUUCAAAAGUGAAAGACGGUCUUGCUGUCACUUAUAGAUGGAUCCGCGCUGCAUUAGCUAGUUGGUAAGGUAACGGCUUACCAAGGCAACGAUGCAUAGCCGACCUGAGAGGGUGAUCGGCCACACUGGAACUGAGACACGGUCCAGACUCCUACGGGAGGCAGCAGUAGGGAAUCUUCCGCAAUGGGCGAAAGCCUGACGGAGCAACGCCGCGUGAGUGAUGAAGGUCUUCGGAUCGUAAAACUCUGUUAUUAGGGAAGAACAUAUGUGUAAGUAACUGUGCACAUCUUGACGGUACCUAAUCAGAAAGCCACGGCUAACUACGUGCCAGCAGCCGCGGUAAUACGUAGGUGGCAAGCGUUAUCCGGAAUUAUUGGGCGUAAAGCGCGCGUAGGCGGUUUUUUAAGUCUGAUGUGAAAGCCCACGGCUCAACCGUGGAGGGUCAUUGGAAACUGGAAAACUUGAGUGCAGAAGAGGAAAGUGGAAUUCCAUGUGUAGCGGUGAAAUGCGCAGAGAUAUGGAGGAACACCAGUGGCGAAGGCGACUUUCUGGUCUGUAACUGACGCUGAUGUGCGAAAGCGUGGGGAUCAAACAGGAUUAGAUACCCUGGUAGUCCACGCCGUAAACGAUGAGUGCUAAGUGUUAGGGGGUUUCCGCCCCUUAGUGCUGCAGCUAACGCAUUAAGCACUCCGCCUGGGGAGUACGACCGCAAGGUUGAAACUCAAAGGAAUUGACGGGGACCCGCACAAGCGGUGGAGCAUGUGGUUUAAUUCGAAGCAACGCGAAGAACCUUACCAAAUCUUGACAUCCUUUGACAACUCUAGAGAUAGAGCCUUCCCCUUCGGGGGACAAAGUGACAGGUGGUGCAUGGUUGUCGUCAGCUCGUGUCGUGAGAUGUUGGGUUAAGUCCCGCAACGAGCGCAACCCUUAAGCUUAGUUGCCAUCAUUAAGUUGGGCACUCUAAGUUGACUGCCGGUGACAAACCGGAGGAAGGUGGGGAUGACGUCAAAUCAUCAUGCCCCUUAUGAUUUGGGCUACACACGUGCUACAAUGGACAAUACAAAGGGCAGCGAAACCGCGAGGUCAAGCAAAUCCCAUAAAGUUGUUCUCAGUUCGGAUUGUAGUCUGCAACUCGACUACAUGAAGCUGGAAUCGCUAGUAAUCGUAGAUCAGCAUGCUACGGUGAAUACGAUCGCGGGUCU